ensembl:lncRNA
AUUUAUUGUUUAUCGGUUUGAAUUACUGGUUAAUUAUUGGUUAUCUAUUGUUGUUGAUCUCCAGUAAUUGGAAUAUAUUUAUUUCCAGGCACAGCUUUCUCACAGCACUACCUUGAAUGCAGCAGUAGACAGGGAAAAAGUUCUGAAUGCUCUUGUAUUACCCUGCUGUGUCACUACUGCUGCCAAGUGUCUGUGGGCAGAUGAAUGCCUUGGUGAAGUUCCUUCUGCUGUGUUUUCAAGUCGCCUCUGUAGCACUGGAUUCAGGAUUUUAGCCGGUACUGACAAAGACAGGGCGGCCGCAAGCUGCUUGUGUUCUACUGAGUUUGCAUGCACUGCUUAAGUCUUAAUAAAGGGAAUGAUACUUGUAAAAUACAGCGUAUAAUCGGUGGACUUUGGUGUGAGUUAGUGGCAACGUCAGUUCUGUAAAGUGUGGUUUUGGUGGUUAUCUAUACAUUGAUGCACUGUAUGUAAAAAAAAAAAAACAAAAAAAAAAAAAACAAAACAAAAAAAAACGUGAUGUGAUGCUUUAUGUGUCCAAGACUGACACACACGAUAUACUUUCAGGUAAAUAAAAUAGUUGAACAGUAGUCUCCCACACCACCUUAAAAAGGACAGGUAAUCUAAAAUCUCCAAUGUUUUUUCUCUCUCUUAAUAGUAUCAUCACCUCAAGUAGUUUAGUUUGUCAAGAUGAAAGAAAACAACCUUUUUCACAGCAGGAGUAACAAUUAAUAGCAUUAAUAAUGACUGAGUUCCAUUUAGUGUCCAAGAAGCCAGUGGGUCAACAUAUAAUUGAGGGACUUUUGAAGUCCAUGGGAUAUAUCUUGCAUACAUUUUUAUUAAAAGUAAAAAAAAAACUAAUGUAUUUUAUGUUCAUUAUGAUCAUGUCUUUACAAAUUCCAUAAUUAUUAUGGAAAAAAUCACUUAUCAAUUAAAAAUGACUGGAUAUCACUAAUAUGUCAACUAAAUAACCGUCCGAAUUUAAUAACAACCACCUUCUAAUUAGCUAAACAAUAAUAAAAUGAUUCAAAAAUUGCUAUGAUUGUGUUCUUUUUACUCGAGAUAAUCAUGACAGACACUGUUCCCUCUAAGCUGCGCAAUUGCGCACUGCUGACACGGUCUCCGCGCACAGAAAAUCUGCGCUGCGCACAAAAAAAAAAUCCAACCUAAAUUGUAAAUAAAAUAAACACGUAACAAUUCAUUCUGUGCUAUUUUUCAAUGUGAGUCAGUGAGUGACCAGUGACUGGCUGCUGCAGCCAAUGAUGGGAUUCACAUACGUAUUUACCAUAGACUGUAUAUAAU